rnacentral:rRNA from 1 species
GAUCCUGGCUCAGGACGAACGCUGGCGGCGUGCUUAACACAUGCAAGUCGAACGCUGAAGCCUAGCUUGCUGGGUGGAUGAGUGGCGAACGGGUGAGUAACACGUGAGUAACCUGCCCUCUUCUUUGGGAUAACGCCCGGAAACGGGUGCUAAUACUGGAUAUUCACUGGCCUUCGCAUGGGGGUUGGUGGAAAGGUUUUUCUGGUGGGGGAGUGGGCUCGCGGCCUAUCAGCUUGUUGGUGGGGUGAUGG